rnacentral:lncRNA from 1 species
AUACACAGCCACUACUCCGAGCAGAGAUUCUUCAACCGAAACUGAGUCUCCACCGGAAACAAUUUCCGAUGCUCCACCUUUUUCCUCGGUAAUCUAUCAUUUCUUUAUUCGUCUUGAUCGUAAUCUUUUUCUCUGCUCAUCACUUUCGUUUAUUUCUAUUUUUAGUCAAUCCCUGCUUCUCCAUCGGUUCCAGUCUCCGACAAAAAACCUAUUGAAGUUGUUCAAAUCACUUCUCCGCCAUCCUCAAAACGGCGCAAGUCAGUGG